GCAUUGUUCAUCUUUCCUUAGCUUCGCAGGACCAAGCCAGACAAAGCCGAAAUCUCCCAUGAUACCUUUAAUUAAAUACGUUAUUCUAUUUCAUGCACUCGAGGAAAAUGGGUUCCGCUGGGAACCGGCUGGGACUUUUAAAGCCAACUUCAAGCAGGGGUUUGAAAUCUUAAAAGAGUGCCAAUUCUGAUCAUUUCUCACCGCCUCCCCCUCCCAAAUGCUAAACUGUAACCAACCCGAAGAUGAAUUUGGAUUCAGGCUGCGUGGAGAAACCUAAAAGAGUUCGAGGGAAGGAAAGUCACCUGUCCAGGUGAAAUCGUAGCUGUCUUUUUUAACCAAGCUUAACACCAGACAGUCCAAACUGGGUCAGCGUGAAAAAUCCACAGCGAUUGGAACGGGUUAGAAUUCUAACUGGCGUAUUUACGCAGCACAUUUGAAAUCCGACACAGGGGGGCACAUUCAGUGAAGGAUUGCGAUGCGUCCCGCAUGCCAGCUUGCGAUCCUCCACCUUGAGUGACAGGAGCCAGCAGAGGAAAAGGACACACGGACACAGACACACACACACGCCAAAGGCCUUCCCGGCAAGGGUGGCGUGCUGUGACCCCCAAAAUUGUCCAGCUCUUUCCCUUCGGAAAGGCCGGCGCCCAACGGGUGCGUUUCAUCUCCAGCGCUGCAGCUUCUGUCGCGAAGCGCUUGGCAACAAAAAGGAUCGCCGGUGGAUCCCAAACAUAGCAACGGCGGGGAGGAGGGAUCGAAAGGUCGGAGAAGAGAGCCGGGCGACUGGCGUGAAGGUCACAAAAGCGAAACAACGAAGGAGGGAAGGAGAAAACAGGAGGCUUGUCGGUCCAGGCUUUCGCCUCCUUCCAAGGCACGCGUGGGGAAGGAACGCGCCGAGCGCGCUCUGCACAGGCUCAGAGGUGCUUAUUGAGGAAAGACACAAAUCCAGAGUCUCUGUUUUCAGUUACUUUUUGCUGCAAAAAUCAUGGUUGGAGGAAGUUUCAAGAUUUGCACGUGGGUGCAAACUGCCCACUUCACAAUUGGCUGAAAGAGGCAGUCACGCCCAGCUGCCUCGAUCUGGGGAUCAAAGAAAGAAAAAAAACAGCUACUUUUGUGAUUCUUGCAUUUGGUGCAAAACAAUAGGAGAAAAGAUUUUUAAAAGCCAUUAUAGCAAAAAAGAAUA
rnacentral:lncRNA from 1 species